UUGGGCUACAGUUGCUAUUUAUAUCUAUGUUGUUGAUUGAUUCAUUAUCGGUUUUCGUACUCUAUAAAGGUGGUUUAUUUUUUCGGUAAUUUUUAACUUAUAGGAGACACAAUGUCUACAACAGGAAAAGUCAAAUGGUUUGACGCAAAAAAAGGGUUUGGUUUUAUUGAACAAGAAAAUGGUGACGAUGUAUUCGUUCACUUUCGCGCUAUUCAAGGCGAUGGCUACAAAUCAUUAGAGGAAGGUCAAGAGGUAGAAUUUGACCUAGAACAAGGUGAAAAAGGUCCACAAGUUACGAACCUUUACCCAAAAUAAUUUGUUAAUUAUUUAAAUAAAAACCCAGUUUAAUCGCUGGGUUUUUUAU
rnacentral:sRNA from 1 species